GACGAACCGUGCAAACGUUAUUCGGAUUCACUGGGCUUAAAGGGCGCGUAGGCGGGUCAUCAAGUCUGGGGUGAAAUACUUCGGCUCAACCGGAGAACAGCCUUGGAUACUGGUGGCCUCGAGGGAGAUAGGGGUGCGUGGAACUUCCGGUGGAGCGGUGAAAUGCGUAGAUAUCGGAAGGAACGCCGGUGGCGAAAGCGGCGCACUGGAUCUCUUCUGACGCUGAGGCGCGAAAGCUAGGGGAGCGAACGGG
rnacentral:rRNA from 1 species